UACAGAGGGUGCGAGCGUUAAUCGGAAUUACUGGGCGUAAAGGGCGCGUAGGUGGUUUAUUAAGAUUGAUGUGAAAUCCCUGGGCUUAACCUAGGAACUGCAUCGAUGACUGAUAGGCUAGAGUACUGUAGAGGGUAGUGGAAUUUCCGGUGUAGCGGUGAAAUGCGUAGAGAUCGGAAGGAACACCAGUGGCGAAGGCGGCUACCUGGACAGAUACUGACACUGAGGCGCGAGAGCGUGGGGAGCAAACAGG
rnacentral:rRNA from 1 species